AUUGAACGCUGGCGGCAGGCCUAACACAUGCAAGUCGAGCGGAUGAAGGGAGCUUGCUCCUGGAUUCAGCGGCGGACGGGUGAGUAAUGCCUAGGAAUCUGCCUGGUAGUGGGGGACAACGUCCGGAAACGGGCGCUAAUACCGCAUACGUCCUGAGGGAGAAAGUGGGGGAUCUUCGGACCUCACGCUAUCAGAUGAGCCUAGGUCGGAUUAGCUAGUUGGUGGGGUAAAGGCCUACCAAGGCGACGAUCCGUAACUGGUCUGAGAGGAUGAUCAGUCACACUGGAACUGAGACACGGUCCAGACUCCUACGGGAGGCAGCAGUGGGGAAUAUUGGACAAAGGGCGAAAGCCUGAUCCAGCCAUGCCGCGUGUGUGAAGAAGGUCUUCGGAUUGUAAAGCACUUUAAGUUGGGAGGAAGGGCAGUAAGUUAAUACCUUGCUGUUUUGACGUUACCAACAGAAUAAGCACCGGCUAACUUCGUG
rnacentral:rRNA from 1 species